CACGUAGGGCGCAAGCGUUGUCCGGAAUUAUUGGGCGUAAAGAGCUCGUAGGCGGUCUGUUGCGUCCGCUGUGAAAACUCGGGGCUUAACCCCGAGCCUGCAGUGGAUACGGGCAGACUAGAGGUAGGUAGGGGAGAAUGGAAUUCCCGGUGUAGCGGUGAAAUGCGCAGAUAUCAGGAGGAACACCGGUGGCGAAGGCGGCGACCUGGGUCGAGACUGACGCUGAGGCGCGAAAGCGUGGGGAGCAAACAGG
rnacentral:rRNA from 1 species